rnacentral:rRNA from 1 species
CACCCAACAGCUAGCCCCCCACCUAAAAUCAACUAAUAGCUAUAAAUAAACCCUAAGACAUCAAAGGACUAACUAAACAAAACAUUUUCAACCCUUAGUAUGGGAGACAGAAAAGGGACCCCGGGAGCUAUAGAGAAAGUACCGCAAGGGAAAGCUGAAAGAGAAAUGAAACAAUGCAUUAAAGUAAUAAAAAGCAGAGAUACACUCUCGUACCUUUUGCAUCAUGAUUCAGCAAGCAACCAUUAAGCAAAGAGCCCUUUAGUUUAAUACCCCGAAACUAGCGUGAGCUACUCCAAGACAGCCUACCAAGCAGGGCCUACCCGUAUCUGUAGCAAAAGAUUGGGGAGAGCUUCGAGUAGAGGUGACAAGCCUAUCGAACCUAGUUAUAGCUGGUUGCCUGGGAAAUGAAUAGAAGUUCAGCCCUUUGGCUUAUUUUUUUGAAUACCCCAUAAAUUAAACAUAAAAAGAAACUAAAGGAGUUAUUCAAAGGAGGCACAGCUCCUUUGAAACAAGAUACAACUUUAUUAGGUGAAUAUAGAUCAUAAUACAAGCAAGGCUCAAUGUUCCGGUGGGCUUAAGAGCAGCCACCCGUGUAAGAAAGCGUUAAACCUCAAACAUGCCUACCCUCCCCCAAUCUCGAUAUAUACCUCUCAAUUCCCUUUAAUUACCAGGCCUAUCCAUACUUAUUAUGGAAGCGAUUCUGCUAAAAUGAGUAACAAGAGGGGGCUAGACACCCCUCUCCUUUCACAAGUGUAAGAUCGAUAUGGACCCGCCAUCGUCAAUUAACGGCCCCAAAUUAAAAGAGGGCAAUGGGCACUUAUACUAAACAACAAGAAAUACCCCCAUCAAUUAAACCGUUAACCCCACACUGGUGUGCCUUAAGGAAAGAUUAAAAGGAAAAGAAGGAACUCGGCAAACUUAUCAAGCCCCGCCUGUUUACCAAAAACACCGCCUCUUGCAAAAUCAAUGAAUAAGAGGUCAUGCCUGCCCUGUGACGAAAUGUUUAACGGCCGCGGUAUCUUAACCGUGCAAAGGUAGCGCAAUCACUUGUCUUUUAAAUGGAGACCCGUAUGAAUGGCUAAACGAGGGCCUAACUGUCUCCUUUCCCAAAUCAGUGAAAUUGAUCUCUCCGUGCAGAAGCGGGGAUAAAAACAUAAGACGAGAAGACCCUAUGGAGCUUUAGACACUAAGAUAGCCCCCCUCCCAACCCCUUAAAGGGAUACUAGAGCUUGAAAGACCACUAUCCUAAUGUCUUCGGUUGGGGCGACCGAGGGGGAACACUUAACCCCCAUGCAGAAGUGAAGGCCUCCUUCCAAAAACAAGAGCUACCGCUCUAAUUCUCAGAACCUCUGACUUAUAAUGAUCCGGCAAUGCCGAUCAACGGACCAAGUUACCCUAGGGAUAACAGCGCAAUCCUCUUUAAGAGACCCUAUCGCCAAGAGGGUUUACGACCUCGAUGUUGGAUCAGGACAUCCUAAUGGUGCAGCCGCUAUUAAGGGUUCGUUUGUUCAACGAUUAAUAGUCCUACGUGAUCUGAGUUCAGACCGGAGUAAUCCAGGUCAGUUUCUAUCUAUGCCAUACCCUCUCCUAGUACGAAAGGAUCGGAGAAGGAAGGCCCCUGCUACACCCAUGCCCUAUCCUCAUCUGCUGCCGUUCAAUUAAACAGCCAACUGGAUACCCCCUCCCCCAUAUGAGAGCCAUAUAA